rnacentral:rRNA from 1 species
GAACGCUGGCGGCGUGCUUAACACAUGCAAGUCGAACGAUGAUCCGGUGCUUGCACCGGGGAUUAGUGGCGAACGGGUGAGUAACACGUGAGUAACCUGCCCUUAACUCUGGGAUAAGCCUGGGAAACUGGGUCUAAUACCGGAUAUGACUCCUCAUCGCAUGGUGGGGGGUGGAAAGCUUUUUGUGGUUUUGGAUGGACUCGCGGCCUAUCAGCUUGUUGGUGAGGUAAUGGCUUACCAAGGCGACGACGGGUAGCCGGCCUGAGAGGGUGACCGGCCACACUGGGACUGAGACACGGCCCAGACUCCUACGGGAGGCAGCAGUGGGGAAUAUUGCACAAUGGGCGCAAGCCUGAUGCAGCGACGCCGCGUGAGGGAUGACGGCCUUCGGGUUGUAAACCUCUUUCAGUAGGGAAGAAGCGAAAGUGACGGUACCUGCAGAAGAAGCGCCGGCUAACUACGUGCCAGCAGCCGCGGUAAUACGUAGGGCGCAAGCGUUAUCCGGAAUUAUUGGGCGUAAAGAGCUCGUAGGCGGUUUGUCGCGUCUGCCGUGAAAGUCCGGGGCUCAACUCCGGAUCUGCGGUGGGUACGGGCAGACUAGAGUGAUGUAGGGGAGACUGGAAUUCCUGGUGUAGCGGUGAAAUGCGCAGAUAUCAGGAGGAACACCGAUGGCGAAGGCAGGUCUCUGGGCAUUAACUGACG